UGGGGAAUUUUGGACAAUGGGCGAAAGCCUGAUCCAGCAAUGCCGCGUGUGUGAAGAAGGCCUUCGGGUUGUAAAGCACUUUUGUCCGGAAAGAAAUGGCUCUGGUUAAUACCUGGGGUCGAUGACGGUACCGGAAGAAUAAGGACCGGCUAACUACGUGCCAGCAGCCGCGGUAAUACGUAGGGUCCAAGCGUUAAUCGGAAUUACUGGGCGUAAAGCGUGCGCAGGCGGUUGUGCAAGACCGAUGUGAAAUCCCCGAGCUUAACUUGGGAAUUGCAUUGGUGACUGCACGGCUAGAGUGUGUCAGAGGGGGGUAGAAUUCCACGUGUAGCAGUGAAAUGCGUAGAGAUGUGGAGGAAUACCGAUGGCGAAGGCAGCCCCCUGGGAUAACACUGACGCUCAUGCACGAAAGCGUGGGGAGCAAACAGGAUUAGAUACCCUGGUAGUCCACGCCCUAAACGAUGUCAACUAGUUGUUGGGGAUUCAUUUCCUUAGUAACGUAGCUAACGCGUGAAGUUGACCGCCUGGGGAGUACGGUCGCAANAUUAAAAGCUC
rnacentral:rRNA from 1 species